UAUAUGGAGAGUUUGAUCCUGGCUCAGGACGAACGCUGGCGGCGUGCCUAAUACAUGCAAGUCGAGCGGACGGAUGGGAGCUUGCUCCCUGAAGUCAGCGGCGGACGGGUGAGUAACACGUGGGCAACCUGCCUGUAAGACUGGGAUAACUUCGGGAAACCGGAGCUAAUACCGGAUAAUUCUUUCCCUCACAUG
rnacentral:rRNA from 1 species